rnacentral:rRNA from 1 species
CAACAACGGAUCUCUUGGCUCUCGCAUCGAUGAAGAACGCAGCGAAAUGCGAUAAGUAAUGUGAAUUGCAGAAUUCAGUGAAUCAUCGAAUCUUUGAACGCACCUUGCGCUCCUUGGUAUUCCGAGGAGCAUGCCUGUUUGAGUGUCAUUAAUAUCUCAACUCCUACCGUUUUGCGACGGUAGGGCGUUGGACUUGGAGUGUGCUGGCGCAAGUCAGCUCCUCUUCAAAUGCAUUAGCGGAGUGCUUCUCUCGCGGUUGG